rnacentral:rRNA from 1 species
GACGAACGCUGGCGGCGUGCUUAACACAUGCAAGUCGAACGGAAAGGCCCUGCUUUUGUGGGGUGCUCGAGUGGCGAACGGGUGAGUAACACGUGAGUAACCUGCCCUUGACUUUGGGAUAACUUCAGGAAACUGGGGCUAAUACCGGAUAGGAGCUCCUGCUGCAUGGUGGGGGUUGGAAGGUUUCGGCGGUUGGGGAUGGACUCGCGGCUUAUCAGCUUGUUGGUGGGGUAGUGGCUUACCAAGGCUUUGACGGGUAGCCGGCCUGAGAGGGUGACCGGCCGCAUUGGGACUGAGAUACGGCCCAGACUCCUACGGGAGGCAGCAGUGGGGAAUAUUGCACAAUGGGCGGAAGCCUGAUGCAGCAACGCCGCGUGCGGGAUGACGGCCUUCGGGUUGUAAACCGCUUUCGCCUGUGACGAAGCGUGAGUGACGGUAAUGGGUAAAGAAGCACCGGCUAACUACGUG